rnacentral:rRNA from 1 species
UACGGAGGGAGCUAGCGUUGUUCGGAAUUACUGGGCGUAAAGCGCGCGUAGGCGGCUUUGUAAGUUAGAGGUGAAAGCCCGGGGCUCAACCCCGGAACUGCCUUUAAGACUGCAUCGCUUGAAUCCGGGAGAGGUGAGUGGAAUUCCGAGUGUAGAGGUGAAAUUCGUAGAUAUUCGGAAGAACACCAGUGGCGAAGGCGGCUCACUGGACCGGUAUUGCGCUGAGGCGCGAAAGCGUGGGGAGCAAACAGG